UACGUAGGUGGCAAGCGUUGUCCGGAUUUAUUGGGUUUAAAGGGUGCGUAGGCGGUCAUAUAAGUCAGUUGUGAAAUACCCCGGCUUAACCGGAGGAACUGCGAUUGAUACUGUUUGACUUGAAUCAGGUUGAGGUAGGCGGAAUGUGGCAUGUAGCGGUGAAAUGCUUAGAUAUGCCAUAGAACACCGAUUGCGAAGGCAGCUUGCUGGGCCUGUAUUGACGCUGAGGCACGAAAGCGUGGGGAGCAAACAGG
rnacentral:rRNA from 1 species